rnacentral:rRNA from 1 species
GUCUACGGCCAUACCACCCUGAACGCGCCCGAUCUCGUCUGAUCUCGGAAGCUAAGCAGGGUCGGGCCUGGUUAGUACUUGGAUGGAAGAUUCACAGAGGAGGUGUCCCUGGGUGGCUCAGUCA